ACGGGGUGCAGCAGGCGCGAAAACUUCGCAAUGCGCGAAAGCGUGACGAGGUCACUCCGAGUGCCGUCCGCUGAGGAUGGCUUUUGCCCGGUUUAACUAGCCAGGUGAAUAAGGGGAGGGCAAGUCUGGUGUCAGCCGCCGCGGUAAUACCAGCUCCCCGAGUGGUUGGGACGAUUAUUGGGUCUGAAGCGUCCGUAGCCGGCCGAAAAAGUUCCCCGUUAAAUCUGGCGAUCCAAUCGUUGGGCUGCGGGGAAUACUCUUCGGCUUGGGGGCGAGGGAGGUCGGCGGUAGUCCCGGGGUAGGGGCGAAAUCCUAUAAUCCCGGGAGGACCACCAGUGGCGAAGGCGGCCGACUAAAACGCGCCCGACGGUGAGGGACGAAAGCUGGGGGAGCGAACGGGAUUAGAUACCCCGGUAGUCCCAGCUGUAAACGAUGUAGGCUAGGUGUUGGGACGGCUACGCGCUGUCCCAGUGCCGCAGGGAAGCCAUUAAGCCUGCCACCUGGGAAGUACGGCCGCAAGGCUGAAACUUAAAGGAAUUGGCGGGGGAGCAC
rnacentral:rRNA from 1 species